rnacentral:rRNA from 1 species
GGAAGAAGCGAAAGUGACGGUACCUGAAGAAAAAGCACCGGCUAACUACGUGCCAGCAGCCGCGGUAAUACGUAGGGUGCAAGCGUUGUCCGGAAUUAUUGGGCGUAAAGAGCUCGUAGGCGGUUUGUCGCGUCUGCUGUGAAAACGCGAGGCUCAACCUCGCGCCUGCAGUGGGUACGGGCAGACUAGAGUGCGGUAGGGGAGAUUGGAAUUCCUGGUGUAGCGGUGGAAUGCGCAGAUAUCAGGAGGAACACCGAUGGCGAAGGCAGAUCUCUGGGCCGUAACUGACGCUGAGGAGCGAAAGCGUGGGGAGCGAACAGGAUUAGAUACCCUGGUAGUCCACGCCGUAAACGUUGGGAACUAGAUGUGGGGUCCAUUCCACGGAUUCCGUGUCGCAGCUAACGCAUUAAGUUCCCCGCCUGGGGAGUACGGCCGUAAGGCUAAAACUCAAAGGAAUUGACGGGGGCCCGCACAAGCGGCGGAGCAUGCGGAUUAAUUCGAUGCAACGCGAAGAACCUUACCAAGGCUUGACAUACACCGGAAACGGCCAGAAAUGGUCGCCCCGCAAGGUCGGUGUACAGGUGGUGCAUGGUUGUCGUCAGCUCGUGUCGUGAGAUGUU